GACGAACGCUGGCGGCGUGCUUAACACAUGCAAGUCGAACGAUGAAGCCCAGCUUGCUGGGUGGAAGAGUGGCGAACGGGUGAGUAACACGUGAGUAACCUGCCCUGAACUCUGGGAUAAGCGCUGGAAACGGUGUCUAAUACUGGAUACGACCUAUCACCGCAUGGUGUGUGGGUGGAAAGAUUUAUCGGUUCUGGAUGGACUCGCGGCCUAUCAGCUAGAUGGUGAGGUAAUGGCUCACCAUGGCGACGACGGGUAGCCGGCCUGAGAGGGUGACCGGCCACACUGGGACUGAGACACGGCCCAGACUCCUACGGGAGGCAGCAGUGGGGAAUAUUGCACAAUGGGCGCAAGCCUGAUGCAGCAACGCCGCGUGAGGGAUGACGGCCUUCGGGUUGUAAACCUCUUUUAGUAGGGAAGAAGCGAAAGUGACGGUACCUGCAGAAAAAGCACCGGCUAACUACGUG
rnacentral:rRNA from 1 species